GCUAUGUUAUCUUCUAUGUGAUCAAUACCUUCAGAUAUGGCUAAUCCACCCAGUGCACCUGCAACCGCACCCAUAGCUAGUCCCGCACCCAGGCCCAUCCCACCGAACUUGCUCUUCUUCUUCUCCUCGUAACCAUACCCUGCUUUCUGUGACCCGUAACUACCCUGAGGCUGCGCCCCGUAGCUUCCCUGCUGCCCGUAACUACCCUGCGAUCCAUAACUUCCCUGCUGAGGGUAACCAGGCUGUUGCCCGUAACUACCCUGCUGCCCGUACGGUGCAGGAGGAGCACCGUAACCUGGUUGUUGACCAUAACCCGGAGCAGGAGCUCCACCAUAACCUGGUUGUUGACCAUAACCGGAAGCUGGACCCGGUGCAGGAGCCGCGUUGUACGGGUAACCCGCUGGUGGAGCAGCAUAAGGCGAAGCACCAGGGGCAGGAGCACCGUAAGGGGAAGGAGCAGGGGCAGGAGCACCGUAUGAUCCGCCGUAAGGUUGCGGUGGAGCAGGGUAAUCCCUCGAUCCAGCUGGUGGAGGUACACCGUAAGGAGGUGCGUAAUACGGAUCCGGCGCACGAUAGCGCGGAUCACGAACAGCAAC
rnacentral:lncRNA from 1 species